CUCAACAUAGACCUACCCUAAGACCUAGCCAUACCACUCCUAGGCAUCUAUCCUGAACAACAGGAUCCAGGGUACCACAAAGACAUCUGCACAUCCAUGUUUAUCACUGCACAAUUCACAAUAGCCAAAAUAUGGAAACAACCCAGAUGCCCCACUACAGAUGAAUGGAUC